UACGUAGGGUCCGAGCGUUGUCCGGAAUUACUGGGCGUAAAGAGCUCGUAGGUGGUUUGUCGCGUUGUUCGUGAAAACUCACAACUCAAUUGUGGGCGUGCGGGCGAUACGGGCAGACUGGAGUACUGCAGGGGAGACUGGAAUUCCUGGUGUAGCGGUGGAAUGCGCAGAUAUCAGGAGGAACACCGGUGGCGAAGGCGGUUCUCUGGGCAUUACCUGACGCUGAGGAGCGAAAGUGUGGGGAGCGAACAGG
rnacentral:rRNA from 1 species